GACAGGGUUAUACCAGUGGUUGCUUUGAAUAUAGCUAUUAGUUCAGAUUCCAUGGCUCAUGGAAAUAAAAGAUCAAGGCUUUUGAGUAGCAGAUGAUUAGAUACUUAAAGCCAUGAAGGUUUAGCUUGUCACCAUCAAACACUAGAGAAAAACCACCAGUUUGAUAGUUGGUAAGCAAUAUGCUUGCAAGACCCUGAACCAACCAGCACAACUAAGCAAUAUGCAUGCAACUCCAUUUGAGCUCUCAUUCUGCCUUC